rnacentral:tRNA from 1 species
GUCCUGAUAGCUUAAUUAAAGCACCGGCCUUGUAAACCGAAGAUUGCAGCAUAAUACCUGCUCAGGGCU